rnacentral:lncRNA from 1 species
GGCAUUAGCACUGUAAAGUGUAAAGACAGGAGGAUUAUAGGAUGCUACUAAUCAAACCGGCUCGAGCAGGUGCGAAUAAGAGCCGCUGUCGUGGGAGGAAAGCAAGUCCAGUGACAUGGACGCGCACCAGACGCCGGUUAUAAUUUACAUAUAUACAUACAUGUGCUUUCAUCAAAAGCUAGCUAAUGGAACUGUACAAUGAUUGCAACGUCGACAGACAUGCAGGCCACCCACUGGGGUUAUCGAUCCCAUGGCUGAGCUUUGCGUUAUUUGGUGACGAUCUUGCUAAGAUUCUUCCGUGUGUGACAUUUGAUUAAUCCCAUGCAUUGCCGCCAUGGAAUCCAUUAUAUAUGUGUAUAUAUA